CCAUGCGCUACGCACGCUCCGACUGUCUGGACGCUGGGUACCUGGCUGAAGACUUUGGACUUUAACCUGGAGAUGAUGGAGAGUAUGCAGGAUAAAGUCCAUACCAAAUCCAACGCCUAGCAAAUGGAGAACAAGCCAAAACUAACAUGAUAAAAUGCAGCAGGAAAAAGUGCAAAGAGCUGAAGUGUGGAAUAAGUGGGAGAGGUCUGCCAUGCCCUAUCUAACCUUGCUGCCAUGACCUUUAAGGCCGUGUGUCCUGGUUGGUGCAGCUACAAGAUGGCAGAAAUGCCUAAGUGACAGUAUGGAAGAGAGGAUCCCUCUUCUCACCAUUGUCUUGCAUGUUUCCUUGUGUGAACCACAAAUAAACUUUUGUUAUGUUAA
rnacentral:antisense_RNA from 1 species